CGACGGGAUGCAGCAGUGAGGAAUAUUGCACAAUGGGGGGAACCCUGAUGCAGCAACGCCGCGUGGAGGAUGACGCAUUUCGGUGUGUAAACUCCUUUUAUAUGUCAAGAAAAUGACGGUAGCAUAUGAAUAAGCACCGGCUAACUCCGUGCCAGCAGCCGCGGUAAUACGGAGGGUGCAAGCGUUACUCGGAAUCACUGGGUGUAAAGGACGCGUAGGCGGGUUGGAAAGUCAGGUGUGAAAUCCUACAGCUUAACUGUAGAACUGCACUUGAAACUUCUAAUCUAGAGUAUGGGAGGGGGAGACGGAAUUAGUGGUGUAGGGGUAAAAUCCGUAGAUAUCACUAGGAAUACCUAAAGCGAAGGCGAUCUCCUGGAACAUUACUGACGCUAAGGCGUGAAAGCGUGGGGAGCAAACAGGAUUAGAUACCCCUGUAGUC
rnacentral:rRNA from 1 species